AAUUGAUUGUGUGGCAAACAGCUUCAUGGUCAAGACCACUAUUAAUUAACUGAGACCAUAGGCACCCGAAAUUGGCUGUCAGUGGUUCUCUUCAACCUGUCUGGAUAAAGAUUUCUUUGCCAAAGAACUAGCUUCUGCAAGAACCUUUUGCAUUUAUGAACAGGUUGAACAGCUACGCAAAUCAGGAGUUAUCAAGGGGGGUUCCGCCAAAAACGCUAUUGUUUGUAGUGAAAGUAGAGGCUGGCUGAAUCCACCACUGCGUUUUAGUGAUGAACCUUGCAGACACAAGGUAUUAGAUCUUAUAGGUGAUCUUUCUCUUUUGGCGCACGGUGGUAACCAAGGUCUUCCUGUGGCACACAUUAUUGUGUAUAAGGGUGGACAUGCACUGCAUUCGAAUUUCGCUCACCGCUUAUCGGGAAUCAACUGAGGUAGAUUUGGUUAUCAAGCUAUUGUUGUUCUUCGAGUCCUGCAACUAGUUGGCUAUUUGUGAACCAGAGUUACUCGACCCAAGUUUUGACAACUAAAAUGCUAAUGGACUUUGGCAAAAGGACUUAUGAAUCGAUGUUCCAUCCUUCACAGUCAUUAUAUCGAUGUGGAUUGCCUCGUAACAUCUAUUUAAUAAGACAACAUAAAGCCAUUGAACGGUUCGAAAACAUUUCUAAUUCGUAGUCUAA
rnacentral:misc_RNA from 1 species